UACCAGCACCCCGAGUGGUCGGGACGAUUAUUGGGCCUAAAGCAUCCGUAGCCGGUUCUACAAGUCUUCCGUGAAAUCCACCUGCUUAACAGUUGGGCUGCGGAGGAUACUAUAGAGCUAGGAGGCGGGAGAGGCAAGCGGUACUUAGUGGGUAGGGGUAAAAUCCGUUGAUCCAUUGAAGACCACCAGUGGCGAAGGCGGCUUGCCAGAACGCACUCGACGGUGAGGGAUGAAAGCUGGGGGAGCAAACAGG
rnacentral:rRNA from 1 species